rnacentral:lncRNA from 1 species
AAAUCUUUAUUGUAUUAACCCUUGUGUGUCCGGAAUUGGUGGGUUCUUGGUCUCACUGACUUCAAGAAUGAAGCCUGGGACACUCACGGAAUCAAGACAACUCACCAGAAAAAGGACUGAGAACUCCUUCUGGAUGAAGAUACUUCCUAGGUGCAAGAGAGUUGAGUGAAGGCUAAAGCUCUAUAACCAUUGAAAGCUGGCUGGGGGAAAAGAAGAAGAGGCAAAAAGAUCAACUGAAGAAUAAACUGCUGUCAUUGGCACAAAAGAAUACCACAAAGAUUAUUUACAAAACUCGAAUCAGGAGUAGAACAGACCUCCAUGUGGAAGUUCAAUUAUGCUAAGAGGAAAGAGGAAAGGGGAAGAGUUUACAGAAAUAA